rnacentral:rRNA from 1 species
AGAAUGAACGCUGGCGGCGUGCUUAACACAUGCAAGUCGAGCGAGGCCAGGGGGGCAACUCCCUGAGUCGAGCGGCGGACGGGUGAGUAACACGUGGGUAACCUACCCGGAAGUGGGGAAUACCUCGGGGAAACUCGAGCUAAUACCGCAUGACAUCUCGAGGACGAAAGUUCUUGUGAUCAAAGCGGGGCCGCAAGGCCUCGUGCUACCGGAUGGGCCCGCGCCCGAUUAGCUAGUUGGCGAGGUAAUGGCUCACCAAGGCGACGAUC